rnacentral:rRNA from 1 species
ACAAGGUUAGCGGCGGACGGGUGAGUAACACGUGGGUAACCUGCCUGUAAGACUGGGAUAACAUUCAGAAACGGAUGCUAAUACCGGAUACGCGGUUUGGUCGCAUGACCGAACCGGGAAAGAUGGAGCAAUCUAUCACUUACAGAUGGACCCGCGGCGCAUUAGCUAGUUGGUGAGGUAACGGCUCACCAAGGCGACGAUGCGUAGCCGACCUGAGAGGGUGAUCGGCCACACUGGGACUGAGACACGGCCCAGACUCCUACGGGAGGCAGCAGUAGGGAAUCUUCCGCAAUGGACGAAAGUCUGACGGAGCAACGCCGCGUGAGUGAUGAAGGUUUUCGGAUCGUAAAGCUCUGUUGCCAGGGAAGAAUGCUUGGGAGAGUAACUGCUCCCAAGGUGACGGUACCUGAGAAGAAAGCCCCGGC